ACGAACGCUGGCGGCGUGCUUAACACAUGCAAGUCGAACGGAAAGGCCCUGCUUUUGUGGGGUGCUCGAGUGGCGAACGGGGGAGUAACACGUGAGUAACCUGCCCUUGACUUUGGGAUAACUUCAGGAAACUGGGGCUAAUACCGGAUAGGAGCUCCUGCUGCAUGGUGGGGGUUGGAAAGUUUCGGCGGUUGGGGAUGGACUCGCGGCUUAUCGGCUUGUUGGUGGGGUAGUGGCUUACCAAGGCUUUGACGGGUAGCCGGCCUGAGAGGGUGACCGGCCACAUUGGGACUGAGAUACGGCCCAGACUCCUACGGGAGGCAGCAGUGGGGAAUAUUGCACAAUGGGCGGAAGCCUGAUGCAGCAACGCCGCGUGCGGGAUGACGGCCUUCGGGUUGUAAACCGCUUUCGCCUGUGACGAAGCGUGAGUGACGGUAAUGGGUAAAGAAGCACCGGCUAACUACGUG
rnacentral:rRNA from 1 species